rnacentral:rRNA from 1 species
UACGUAGGUGGCAAGCGUUGUCCGGAAUUACUGGGUGUAAAGGGAGUGUAGGCGGGAUAUCAAGUCAGAAGUGAAAAUUACGGGCUCAACUCGUAACCUGCUUUUGAAACUGACAUUCUUGAGUGAAGUAGAGGCAAGCGGAAUUCCUAGUGUAGCGGUGAAAUGCGUAGAUAUUAGGAGGAACACCAGUGGCGAAGGCGGCUUGCUGGGCUUUUACUGACGCUGAGGCUCGAAAGCGUGGGGAGCAAACAGGAUUAGAAACCCCGUAGUCCGGCCGCUGU